UGGGGAAUAUUGCACAAUGGGGGAAACCCUGAUGCAGCGACGCCGCGUGAAGGAAGAAGUAUCUCGGUAUGUAAACUUCUAUCAGCAGGGAAGAAAGUGACGGUACCUGACUAAGAAGCCCCGGCUAACUACGUGCCAGCAGCCGCGGUAAUACGUAGGGGGCAAGCGUUAUCCGGAUUUACUGGGUGUAAAGGGAGCGUAGACGGAGCAGCAAGUCUGAUGUGAAAGGCGGGGGCUCAACCCCCGGACUGCAUUGGAAACUGCUGAUCUUGAGUACCGGAGGGGUAAGCGGAAUUCCUAGUGUAGCGGUGAAAUGCGUAGAUAUUAGGAGGAACACCAGUGGCGAAGGCGGCUUACUGAACGGUAACUGACGUUGAGGCUCGAAAGCGUGGGGAGCAAACA
rnacentral:rRNA from 1 species